UACGUAGGGUGCAAGCGUUAAUCGGAAUUACUGGGCGUAAAGCGUGCGCAGGCGGUUUUGUAAGUCUGUCGUGAAAUCCCCGGGCUCAACCUGGGAAUGGCGAUGGAUACUGCAAGGCUAGAAUCUGGCAGAGGGGGGUAGAAUUCCACGUGUAGCAGUGAAAUGCGUAGAGAUGUGGAGGAACACCGAUGGCGAAGGCAGCCCCCUGGGUCAAGAUUGACGCUCAUGCACGAAAGCGUGGGGAGCAAACAGG
rnacentral:rRNA from 1 species